GCUAUGACAACCUCUGGCACGUCAGCCACUCUGAACCUGUCAGUGGAAAGCCAUGGUAAAAUCAGGUCACAGGAGAAGUAUGGCAGCUGCAGUGGUUUGGGCUGGUGCUCAAGUCCGCAUAAGGGCGGAGAAAGUGGAGAAAGACGAGACUGGCAAGGUGUGAGCUGUGGAUAAGAGCUAGAGAAGACUGACAAGUAACAGCAGAUCUUGAGGACUAACAACAGCAGCAGU